rnacentral:lncRNA from 1 species
AGAGGGAGGAGACAAACGAACCGAGGCGGGAGCGGCCACGGGUGACAGCGGCAGCGGCGGGGCCGGGCUGCGCUCCCGAAGGCGUUCCUGGAGGGCCCUGGGAUGGACUCAGAGAUCCCCAGAGCCCCAGGGGACGGAAAAUCUAGCCCCGGGCACUUGCCUUGGAGUCUGAGUGAUGCGCGUCGUUGGAGCGCGAAGCCGGUCUCCCUAGCCUCCGCCCGACACAGCGUCUCCAGGGGUUUUCCUCCUUUUCGCGCCUCUCCUUCCCUCUUCCCCACACCAUUUGAGAGCCUCAAAUGGUAGUCCUGCCGCCACCUCUCUCCCUUCGCCAGCCUGCCAUCGUCCCCAUGGGUGCAGAUAUGCGCUCCCGAAGCCGCCUGCCUGCCGCGUCUGCCUCGGGCAUCAGCCCACGAGUGGGGAGUCGGCUCAGCUUGCCACGAGGGAACCUCGGGUUAGGACCAAUCGCCCGGGAGAGAGCCCUCCUCGCCCCCGCACCUCCUGCUCCAAGUCUCCUGUCCUGGUUAUCCCAAGUUCAGGGCCCACCUGGGGUCACAUGGGGAACUACUUGUCUUAAGGCUGUAAACAAUAGUUGGAAGAGGAGUUGCUAGCUUUUGAGAACUUCCAUGAUCAUCCAAAGUCUGAAACAAAGUAGGCGGUCAGCCUUUCAAAAUACGUGUUGGAAGAAACAGACACCUUCCCAUCCCCAGCGUUUGUUCAGUGCCUUGGUUGGGCUUUGAUUCUCACUGCUUUGUGAACUGUGCCAGUGAAAAGGGAGCCAGUUGACUCUUGACCUUCACAAGUAGGUAACCAUGAUGAAGUAACUAUGUCUGGGGAUCUGAGUCUCAGCUUUUUUGUGUCUAUAAAUUUGAUUAUAUUCAUUUACCUAUAGUUGGACAAGCUAACCUACCACCUGGACAUCAUAGUUUUGACUCCCCAAAUUGGACUGGGUAUCCAUUCUAUGUGUUCUCUGUGUGCCUGUCAUGGUAUUUGUCACACUGUACUGUAAUUCCCUCUGUGCCAGUAGAUUGUUUGCUCCUGCCAUACAUAUACACAUGCACAUACAUACUUUUUCUGCUAUAUGUUACACAUUUCUUUUGAUUUAUUAUUUGUCAUCUACAUUUGUAUACAGAAGUUUUAAUUUUCAUUAGCCAAAAUGCUAAUGAAAUCACAUAGAUAUUAAAGGGAUACUUGGAACAACUUUAUGCCAAUAAAUUCAGUAACUUAAGCAAAAUGGACAAAUUCCUAAAAAAAUAAAUAAAUAAAUUACCAAAAAUGACACAAAAGAAGGAAAAGAAAAUCUAAAUGUUUCAGUGUCUGUUAAAAAAAUUGAAUUUAUAAGCAAAACACUUGCCACAAAGAAAACUCCGGGCAGAUGACUGCACCAGUGAAUUUUAUCAGACAUUUAAGGGGGACA